AAAAAGAUAAGCUAAGUUUAAGCUAGUGGGUUCAUACCUCACUUAUGGGCAUUAUGCUCUCUUUUUA
rnacentral:tRNA from 1 species